rnacentral:tRNA from 1 species
UCCUUGUUAGUACAGUGGUGAGUAUCCCCAUCUGUAAAUCAGGAGAUCAGGGUUCGAUUCCCCAAUGGGGAG